rnacentral:rRNA from 1 species
AUUGAACGCUGGCGGCAGGCCUAACACAUGCAAGUCGAGCGAGCGGCGGACGGGUGAGUCAUGCCUGGGAAUUGCCCAGUCGAGGGGUAUAACAGUUGGAAACGACUGCUAAUACCGCCUACGAUUGGCUUGCCCCGGUGGGCUUAGCUCGUUGGUGGGUUAAUGGCUCACCAGGGCGACUAUCCCUAGCUGUGCGGAGAGGAUGAUCAGCAACACUGGAAUUGAGACACGGCCCAGACUCCUAGGGUAGGCAGCAGUGGGGAAUAUUGCACAAUGGGGGAAAUCCUGAUGCAGCCAUGCCGCGUGUGUGAAGAAGGCCUUCGGGUUGUAAAGCACUUUCAGCGAGGAGGCGUUACUCGCAGAAGAAGCACCGGCUAACUCCGUGCCAGCAGCCGCGGUAAUUC